UACGAAGGGGGCUAGCGUUGCUCGGAAUGACUGGGCGUAAAGGGUGCGUAGGCGGGUCUUUAAGUCAGGGGUGAAAUCCUGGAGCUCAACUCCAGAACUGCCUUUGAUACUGAAGAUCUUGAGUUCGGGAGAGGUGAGUGGAACUGCGAGUGUAGAGGUGAAAUUCGUAGAUAUUCGCAAGAACACCAGUGGCGAAGGCGGCUCACUGGCCUGAUACUGACGCUGAGGCACGAAAGCGUGGGGAGCAAACAGG
rnacentral:rRNA from 1 species